rnacentral:hammerhead_ribozyme from 1 species
GCACUAAUGAGGAGUCCCACAACAGGAUGAAACGGCUGUCCAGUGC